rnacentral:rRNA from 1 species
GGCCAAGUUACUAAGGGCGCACGGUGGAUGCCUUGGCACCAGGAGCCGAUGAAGGACGUGGGAGGCUGCGAUAUGCCUCGGGGAGCUGUCAACCGAGCUGUGAUCCGAGGAUUUCCGAAUGGGGAAACCCGGCAGGACCCUAAAUCCUGUCACCCUCGCCUGAACAC